rnacentral:rRNA from 1 species
AGGUAACGUCAAGAACAUCGGGUAUUAACCGACACCUUUUCUUCCCCUUUGAAAGUGCUUUACAACCCGCAGGCCUUCUUCACACACGCGGUAUUGCUGGAUCAGGGUUGCCCCCAUUGUCCAAUAUUCCCCC